GACGAACGCUGGCGGCGUGCCUAAUACAUGCAAGUCGAACGCACAGUUUAUACCGUAGCUUGCUACACCAUAGACUGUGAGUUGCGAACGGGUGAGUAACGCGUAGGUAACCUGCCUGGUAGCGGGGGAUAACUAUUGGAAACGAUAGCUAAUACCGCAUAAUAUUAAUUAUUGCAUGAUAAUUAAUUGAAAGGUGCAAUUGCACCACUACCAGAUGGACCUGCGUUGUAUUAGCUAGUAGGUGAGGUAACGGCUCACCUAGGCGACGAUACAUAGCCGACCUGCGAGGGUGAUCGGCCACACUGGGACUGGGACACGGCCCAGACUCCUACGAGAGGCAGCAGUAGGGAAUCUUCGGCAAUGGACGAAAGUCUGACCGAGCAACGCCGCGUGAGUGAAGAAGGGUGUCGGAUCGUAAAGCUCUGUUGUAAGAGAAGAACGGGUGUGAGAGUGGAAAGUUCACACUGUGACGGUACCUUACCAGAAAGGGACGGCUAACUACGUG
rnacentral:rRNA from 1 species